rnacentral:tRNA from 1 species
GCCUUGGUGGCUCAGUUGGUUAAGCAUCUGACUUCAGCUCAGGUCAUGAUUUCACAGUUAGUGAGUUCAAGCCCCACUUUGGGUU